rnacentral:rRNA from 1 species
UACGGGGGGGGCAAGCGUUGUUCGGAAUUACUGGGCGUAAAGGGCUCGUAGGCGGCCAACUAAGUCAGACGUGAAAUCCCUCGGCUUAACCGGGGAACUGCGUCUGAUACUGGAUGGCUAGAGGUUGGGAGAGGGAUGCGGAAUUCCAGGUGUAGCGGUGGAAUGCGUAGAUAUCGGGAGGAACACCAGUGGCGAAGGCGGUUGCCUGGGGCUUUGCUGACGCUGAGGCGCGAAAGCGUGGGGAGCGAGUCCGG